rnacentral:lncRNA from 1 species
UUUCCUGGCACGUGAAGCAGAGGGAAGUCAGCUCAUAUAGAGGUGUUGGGUGGUAUGAGGGAAGAGUGGCUAAGCGCUAUGCUGCCCACUCUUCCCUCAUACCACCCGACACCUCUAUCUGAGCUGACCUGUCUCUACUUUUGUUUUCCUGGCACGUGGAAGCAGAGGGAAGUCAGGUCAGGUAGAGGUGUCGGGUGGUAUGAGGGAAGAGUGGCUAAGCGCUAUGCUGCCCACUCUUCCCUCAUACCACCCGACACCUCUAUCUGAGCUGACCUGUCUCUACUUUUGUUUUCCUGGCACGUGGAAGCAGAGGGAAGUCAGGUCAGGUAGAGGUGUCGGGUGGUAUGAGGGAAGAGUGGCUAAGCGCUAUGCUGCCCACUCUUCCCUCAUACCACCCGACACCUCUAUCUGAGCUGACCUGUCUCUACUUUUGUUUUCCUGGCAUGUGGAAGCAGAGGGAAGUCAGGUCAGGUUGAAGUGUGGGGAAGUAUGUGGGAAGAGUGGGCAGCAUAGCGCUUAUCCAUUCUUAGCUCAUAUCACCUGACGCCUCUAUUUGAUAAGACCAUCCUCUACUUCUGUUUGUUUGUUAGAACUUUAACCUUAGAGAAACCUUAGAUAUGGGAAGAUCUAUGAUGACUUAGGAUUAAUAGCUAUUUGAUUUUAAAGGUUAUCUCUUAUAACAGUGUUUGUGGUUUGUUUGCCACACAGUAAUUCAUCACAGGUUUUAAAUUCCAAAUGUAAAAAAUACAAAUUAUAUACCUUGUCAAAAUCAAUUUUUAUCAUAUUUUUUGUGGAUACUGUUUACCAAAAAAUACAAUAUCUGGUCUAGCAGGCAGUCAGGAAUAUUGAGUUGCUUAAUCAUAUUUAGUUCUUUAUGUUACUUAUAGUUAUGUAUCUUUUUUUGUGUUAAAUUCAAUAAACCAUAAACUGUA